rnacentral:rRNA from 1 species
UGUUUCGGCUAGGGGGCCAUCCCGGCUUACCAACCCGAUGCAAACUGCGAAUACCGGAGAAUGUUAUCACGGGAGACACACGGCGGGUGCUAACGUCCGUCGUGAAGAGGGAAACAACCCAGACCGCCAGCUAAGGUCCCAAAGUCAUGGUUAAGUGGGAAACGAUGUGGGAAGGCCCAGACAGCCAGGAUGUUGGCUUAGAAGCAGCCAUCAUUUAAAGAAAGCGUAAUAGCUCACUGGUCGAGUCGGCCUGCGCGGAAGAUGUAACGGGGCUAAACCAUGCACCGAAGCUGCGGCAGCGACACUGUGUGUUGUUGGGUAGGGGAGCGUUCUGUAAGCCUGCGAAGGUGUCCCGUGAGGGAU